GGGGUUUGGGCUUAAUCCUUUUGAUUAUUAAGUCCUUUCGGUCGAUCACGGAACUCCUUAAGUGUUCUGCAAGAGGGAAAAAGUCAGCUGGGUGCUCUGAACUGCUUUUUAUUCCUUUUUUAAGAAGUCUAAUUUUGGUAGGUAGGUAGAGUCUUGGCAAAGACUUGUUGACUAGCUACAGGGAUACAAGUCGAAGGCUAUGUGAGUGCCUGCAGUAACUCCACUUCCAGGAGGCCCUUUGUUCUCAGUUCUCUAGGGUCCUUAAGUUUUACAUUAAGGUGAUAUGGUUUGGAUCGGUGUCAUUUUUUAUGAUCACAUAAAAAGCGGUCAAAAAAUGAAAAUACUGGGGAAACAAUCAGACAUCUUCAUCUAUUCCAUGUUCUAGCCAGUAGUAUUUAACAUGAGUAUGAUCAUGAAUAAACAACUAGACAAUCCCAAAUCGUAAUCCCUAAUGUUGGAGGUAGGGCCUGGCGGGGGUGAUUUCUCAUGAAUGGUUUGGCACCAUCCCCUUGGUGCUGUUCUAGUGAUAAUGAGUUAUUGUGAGGUCUGGUGGUUUAAAGUGUGUAUGUAGCACCUCCUCACUCUUCUGCUCUGGCCACGUAAGACAUGCCUGCUUCCUGUUCAGCCAUGAUUGUGUUUCCUAAGGCCUCACUAGAAGCAAAAGCCACUAUGCCUCCUGUAUAGCCUGUAGAACUAAGAAAUGACUGAAAAGUAAAAUCUCUCAAAACUAAAGUCUGUAAUCUGCGAAGAAGUAUAGUAAGUAUACAACAGCAUGUUCAGAAAGUCUGGAAACACAGGAAACAAAGCUGCCUCGAGAUGGAAGUGCAAGGCCCUUUCAACAUUCAAACAGCACACAUCUACUGAGCACCUGCUGCACAUCUGGAACUGGCUAGGGUCUGGGGACAGUGGAAUUCAGAGCCUUGGGCCCAGUCCUUGUAGACUGAUAUUCUAGUUGCAGGAAGCCUGACAAGUUAGUCAACAAUAUUGAUUGUAGUCUGUGGCAAAUGCAAUCAAAUAAAUACAUCAGAUGCGGUGAUAAACAGUAACACUGGGGGGAAUAAGGGAAGCAGCCCACUCUAGCCAGGGAGGGUCUGUGAGCUGAGUAUGGACGGAUGAGGAGGCAGCCAUGCAAAGGUCAAAGGGAAAAGCAGUCCAUGGAGAACAGCAAGAGCAAAUGCCCUGAGGAAAAGCAUGCUUUGAGAACUAGACAGAAAGUCAGGGUAGUAAGCCUUCUGCCAUGGUAAGACGCAGCAAGAAGUCCUUCCCGGGUGCAGCCCCUCAACCUUGGACUUCCCAGCCGCCGGAACUGGGUGGAAGCACUGGGGAUGCAUAUACCACAUGUUAAUUGCAUCCAUGGAAGGCAAUGGAAAUUACAUUUGAUACCUAAAGUGUUUCAGCUAACAUAAAGUAAUGACUUUAUAAAUUGAGAAACUUAAAAAAAAUCAGAGUAAUAAAAGGGAGAGAAGUACUAGAUGAGAUUGGAAGGUAGGGCAGGCCACAUUAUAAUGUGGAGUUUGGCCUUUGAGAGCAAAACAGGGUAUCUAUAGACUUAGAGGGUUGUAAACAGGGAAAUAUGAGCUGUUUCAUUUGUGACUUGUUAAGAACAGUCUCAGGAAGAAAAGAGCCUUUUUGUAGACUUUGAUUUUCUUAAGGCAUGUCCCACUCUGAAAAAUAUAAAAAUGAUUUUGAAAGAAGUGGGAAAAAAGUUGAAUAGGGUGGGACGGGGAUACUUAGAGGGCAAGCAAGAAGCAUUUGGAGUUUAUUAAAUCCUGCAGGAAAGUUAAAGAAGCAAAUGUUAGCAGCGCCCAUCUCAGCACUGUCUAUGGGGGAGGAAACCCUGGCCAGUGGACUUCAGCCCUGCUGGUCUAGUCAGCAAGGCCUUGGAUUUUAUGCUUCGGUAAGAUGAGAAUUGUUAUAUCAGAGGCUGCUGAUUACUGUAUGAGGACAUUUAGCAUUGAAAAGGGUUUGAGCCAUAAUGCCUGAAUCAGGAUAUUUCAGCUGAUAGUAUUGUUAGUAGUUUUGGAUCAAUAAAAGAGUUAGCUAUUAUUUUA